CAGGCUUAACACAUGCAAGUCGAGGGGCAGCGGGGAGGAAGCUUGCUUUCUCCGCCGGCGACCGGCGCACGGGUGAGUAACACGUAUGCAACCUGCCCCUGUCAGGGGGACAACCCGCCGAAAGGCGGGCUAAACCCGCGUACAUGCCACCGGGGCAUCCCGGAGGCAGGAAAGGCUUCGGCCGGACAGGGAUGGGCAUGCGGCGCAUUAGGCAGUAGGCGGGGUAACGGCCCACCUAACCGACGAUGCGUAGGGGUUCUGAGAGGAAGGUCCCCCACACUGGUACUGAGACACGGACCAGACUCUACGGGAGGCAGCAGUGAGGAAUAUUGGUCAAUGGUCGGGAGACUGAACCAGCCAAGCCGCGUGAGGGAGGAAGGUACAGAGUAUCGUAAACCUCUUUUGUCAGGGAACAAAGGCGGGGACGUGUCCCCGGAUGAGUGUACCUGAAGAAAAAGCAUCGGCUAACUCCGUGCCAGCAGCCGCGGUAAUACGGAGGAUGCGAGCGUUAUCCGGAUUUAUUGGGUUUAAAGGGUGCGCAGGCGGUCUGUUAAGUCAGCGGUCAAAGCCCGGGGCUCAACCCCGGCCCGCCGUUGAAACUGGCAGUCUCGAGUUGGAGAGAAGUAUGCGGAAUGCGCGGUGUAGCGGUGAAAUGCAUAGAUAUCGCGCAGAACUCCGAUUGCGAAGGCAGCAUGCCGGCUCCACACUGACGCUGAGGCACGAAAGCGUGGGUAUCGAACAGGAUUAGAUACCCUGGUAGUCCACGCAGUAAACGAUGAAUGCUGGCUGUCCGGGGGGACUGACCCCUGGGUGGCGAAGCGAAAGCGAUAAGCAUUCCACCUGGGGAGUACGCCGGCAACGGUGAAACUCAAAGGAAUUGACGGGGGCCCGCACAAGCGGAGGAACAUGUGGUUUAAUUCGAUGAUACGCGAGGAACCUUACCCGGGCUCAAACGGGGAGUGGCGCAGGCAGAGACGCCUGUUUCCCACGGGACACUCCCCGAGGUGCUGCAUGGUUGUCGUCAGCUCGUGCCGUGAGGUGUCGGCUUAAGUGCCAUAACGAGCGCAACCCCCGCGUGCAGUUGCUAACAGUCAACGCUGAGGACUCUGCACGGACUGCCGGCGCAAGCCGCGAGGAAGGCGGGGAUGACGUCAAAUCAGCACGGCCCUUACGUCCGGGGCGACACACGUGUUACAAUGGGUGGUACAGCGGGAAGCCAGGCGGCGACGCCGAGCGGAACCCGAAAUCCACUCUCAGUUCGGAUCGGAGUCUGCAACCCGACUCCGUGAAGCUGGAUUCGCUAGUAAUCGCGCAUCAGCCAUGGCGCGGUGAAUACGUUCCCGGGCCUU
rnacentral:rRNA from 1 species